rnacentral:rRNA from 1 species
ACUGCGAAUGGCUCAUUAAAUCAGUUAUCGUUUAUUUGAUAGUACCUUACUACAUGGAUAACCGUGGUAAUUCUAGAGCUAAUACAUGCUAAAAACCUCGACUUCGGAAGGGGUGUAUUUAUUAGAUAAAAAACCAAUGCCCUCCGGGGCUCCUUGGUGAUUCAUAAUAACUUCUCAGAUCGCAUGGCCUUGCGCCGGCGACGGUUCAUUCAAAUUUCUGCCCUAUCAACUUUCGAUGGUAAGGUAUUGGCUUACCAUGGUUUCAACGGGUAACGGGGAAUUAGGGUUCGAUUCCGGAGAGGGAGCCUGAGAAACGGCUACCACAUCCAAGGAAGGCAGCAGGCGCGCAAAUUACCCAAUCCCGAUACGGGGAGGUAGUGACAAUAAAUACUGAUACAGGGCUCUUUAGGGUCUUGUAAUUGGAAUGAGUACAAUUUAAACCUCUUAACGAGGAACAAUUGGAGGGCAAGUCUGGUGCCAGCAGCCGCGGUAAUUCCAGCUCCAAUAGCGUAUAUUAAAGUUGUUGCAGUUAAAAAGCUC